UACGGGGGGGGCAAGCGUUGUUCGGAAUUACUGGGCGUAAAGGGCUCGUAGGCGGCCAACUAAGUCAGACGUGAAAUCCCCGGGCUCAACCCGGGAACUGCGUCCGAUACUGGCAGGCUUGAAUCCGGGAGAGGGAUGCGGAAUUCCAGGUGUAGCGGUGAAAUGCGUAGAUAUCUGGAGGAACACCGGUGGCGAAGGCGGCAUCCUGGACCGGUAUUGACGCUGAGGCGCGAAAGCCAGGGGAGCAAACGGG
rnacentral:rRNA from 1 species